AGCAAACAAACUUUAGCAGCAUUCUAGAGACUUCACAGAGACAAACCCAGCACUCGUGCAAAAAACAGUUUGCAAUUUCCUUCCCCAGCCUCAAUACCACGAGCACUCAUAACUAGUAAGCUUUCCUGGAACUGAGGCACCCACAAACACAAGCAGUAAUGACCCGGAUCUGACCUUAUCAGAUGAACAGAGAAGAAGGGGGAUUUUUGCAGGAAGUAAAGCAAAACUAAAGCAGAAAGUGCUUUUUAUUAUUUUCACAGAGUAUUUAGCUCUGAGACAGUAUUCCUUUAAGCAAUGUAUUCAAAACAAAAUAUGAUGAAAGGCAAGAUCUAGAUCUAAGUUUCUGCAGACACAUCCUUUAAUAAUAUUUCCACACAAUGUCAUGUAACAUUACAAUUUACAAUGUAUUCAGCAUUAUUCCCACAUAUCUCAUCUGAAUUUCACCUCACUGCCAGGUGUCCCUCUGACAGAAAGACUGUCUGGGAAAGCAAGCCUGCUUCUGUACAGCACUGAGCAAGUAUUUGGGGUUUCCUCAAGAUACCUAAUCUUUUUCUUUCAGUCAUUCACACAGAGAUUAAGGAAAGGGAAUAAUUAAUCCCAAAGUGUCCUGGAUCUCAUAUAUUGUCUCACAGAGCAACUAAAAAUCUGAAAAGCUAUUCCAUCUCUUCUUUCUAUCCUUUAGUUCCCAGUGGUUAAGAUAAUAAAAGCAAAAGGUUGCCCCAACAGUCACUCCCACCUCUAGCAACACAAAAGUUGAAUUUCUAUGGGAAUGAGCCAUGACUUUUUCCCCCUGCUUCUAAAAGAUGGAUUUUAGGUGGAUGGAACAUUCUGGAAGAAGAACAGAAUUAACAAAGCAUGCUAAUGAUCAGCUGUAAUACUGUAUAAGUGAAGGCACUGCAUAUAGGUGAGCACCUGCUUAGCAGCACAUCCUAUUUCAAACUUAGAAAUGUCUUAUUUUUAACCCAAGAGUAAAAAAAGCAAUUAAGUUGGGUGGGUACCUGACAGACAUGGAAAUGGGAAGAUAAAGGUUUGACUCAGAGACAGUUGACAGAUUUCAUAAAAAUGGUGUAGUACUGAAGUGUCUUGGAGGAAUCCCUGCAGAAAAGGAAGAAGCUGCCCUACAGAAAGGCUAAUGGGGCCUGGAAAACACCAGCUCAGUCAGAAACUGUGUCCAAAUGGCAAACAGCUGAACUCAGUAGGACUACAAUGUGCUGAUUUUAAGUCUACCUGGGAAGCAGCUUGAAGUGAUGGAAGGUAAUGUGCUCCUGGUACCACCUACUUCUGACUUGGGAAGAGAAACAAGGACCAGCAUCUGUCAAGCAGUCAAUUUUUGGCACUGUUUUUGUGCAGAGGACUUUACCUUGACUGGUUAAAGGUCUCAAGCUCAGGAUGACAAUUGAAACAGUAAAUACAAAAACUACUGGAAUCAUAAUGAGCCAAGUGAUCUUCACCAUACACAUCGGAUCUGUCCAUAAAAUAUACAAGAGACAAAAUUAAUCAGCAAAUCACUGGCAGCAGAGAAAAGCAGAACACUCCAUCUUGGCAGGUUUUUGGAUUGUGCCUAUCUCCACAGAUCAAAAUAAAACAAACAAACAGGAU